rnacentral:lncRNA from 1 species
AUCAUCAAUUUAACAAAAGACUAGCGGUCAAAUUAACAGAAUAUGUAAAUUGAUCGAAUCCUAAAAUGUUAGGGUGUAAAUUGAUAAAAUUAAAACCCGGGAGUCUAGAUUAAGAAUGACCCUAAACCUUGAGGGGUUUUUUGCUCUUAGCACAUAAAAUAAUGAAAUUGAAAGAGUUAGUAUUACUAAGAAAGUUCUGACUGAGAAAGAAAAAGAAAG